UUCCAGACUCCUACGGGAGGCAGCAGUGGGGAAUAUUGCACAAUGGGGGGAACCCUGAUGCAGCGACGCCGCGUGGGUGAAGGAGCACCUCGGUGCGUAAAGCCCUAUCGGCAGGGAAGAAACAGACGGUACCUGACUAAGAAGCCCCGGCUAACUACGUGCCAGCAGCCGCGGUAAUACGUAGGGGGCAAGCGUUAUCCGGAUUCACUGGGUGUAAAGGGGGCGCAGACGGCGAUGCAAGCCAGGAGUGAAAGCCCGGGGCCCAACCCCGGGACUGCUCUUGGAACUGCGUGGCUGGAGUGCAGGAGGGGCAGGCGGAAUUCCUAGUGUAGCGGUGAAAUGCGUAGAUAUUAGGAGGAACACCAGUGGCGAAGGCGGCCUGCUGGACAGUAACUGACGUUGAGGCUCGAAAGCGUGGGGAGCAAACAGGAUUAGAUACCCGAGUAGA
rnacentral:rRNA from 1 species